CUAAUAGUCUGUUUAUCAAAACAUCAUGAACAUCCUCUGUUGUCUGUCUAGAAACGGUGCUGUUACAGAUACUGCUUGUGUUUGUCAUCAUGUGACUGCAUGGGAAGAUUAGAACAUGUCACCACCCUUUUCUUUAGAACUGCCUGUUGGGCUGUUGUUGAGCGGCUGGUAUCACCCUUCUCCCAUUAUCCCCCACGUUGUUCCACCUCCACUUCUGGGAGGAACCAGGCGGGACCACAGAGCAGAUUCCCUCAUCUCAUCCCACCAACUCUGUCAGUCCAGCAGGCCCCACAAUGCAGCCUCCACACCACUGCAGUAACAGCCAUAUCUUCCCAUCACAAAGCUUCAGUACUGUCUCAAUGUGUUGAAUUACCAUCCAGGAUCCUGUGGCAACGUCAAUGUGAAACAGCAUUGACCCGUGAUCACCACCAACCAGGGCUCCACAGUGGUAAUC